GCCUCGGUAGCUCAGCGGAUAGAGCAGCCGCCUCCUAAGCGGCAGGUCGCAGGUUCGACUCCUGCCCGGGGCACCA
rnacentral:tRNA from 1 species